rnacentral:rRNA from 1 species
GGGUUGUGAGGUUAAGCGACUAAGCGUACACGGUGGAUGCCCUGGCAGUCAGAGGCGAUGAAGGGCGUGCUAAUCUGCGAUAAGCGCCGGUAAGGUGAUAUGAACCGUUAUAACCGGCGAUACCCGAAUGGGGAAACCCAGUGUGAUUCGUCACACUAUCAUUAACUGAAUCCAUAGGUUAAUGAGGCGAACCGGGGGAACUGAAACAUCUAAGUACCCCGAGGAAAAGAAAUCAACCGAGAUUCCCCCAGUAGCGGCGAGCGAACGGGGAGGAGCCCAGAGCCUGAAUCAGCAUGUGUGUUAGUGGAAGCGUCUGGAAAGGCGCGCGAUACAGGGUGACAGCCCCGUACACAAAAGCGCAUGUGCUGUGAGCUCGAUGAGUAGGGCGGGACACGUGGUAUCCUGUCUGAAUAUGGGGGGACCAUCCUCCAAGGCUAAAUACUCCUGACUGACCGAUAGUGAACCAGUACCGUGAGGGAAAGGCGAAAAGAACCCCGGCGAGGGGAGUGAAAAAGAACCUGAAACCGUGUACGUACAAGCAGUGGGAGCACCCUGUGUGACUGCGUACCUUUUGUAUAAUGGGUCAGCGACUUAUAUUCUGUAGCAAGGUUAACCGAAUAGGGGAGCCGGAGGGAAACCGAGUCUUAACCGGGCGUUAAGUUGCAGGGUAUAGACCCGAAACCCGGUGAUCUAGCCAUGGGCAGGUUGAAGGUUGGGUAACACUAACUGGAGGACCGAACCGACUAAUGUUGAAAAAUUAGCGGAUGACCUGUGGCUGGGGGUGAAAGGCCAAUCAAACCGGGAGAUAGCUGGUUCUCCCCGAAAGCUAUUUAGGUAGCGCCUCGUGAAUUCAUCUCCGGGGGUAGAGCACUGUUUCGGCUAGGGGGCCAUCCCGGCUUACCAACCCGAUGCAAACUGCGAAUACCGGAGAAUGUUAUCACGGGAGACACACGGCGGGUGCUAACGUCCGUCGUGAAGAGGGAAACAACCCAGACCGCCAGCUAAGGUCCCAAAGUCAUGGUUAAGUGGGAAACGAUGUGGGAAGGCCCAGACAGCCAGGAUGUUGGCUUAGAAGCAGCCAUCAUUUAAAGAAAGCGUAAUAGCUCACUGGUCGAGUCGGCCUGCGCGGAAGAUGUAACGGGGCUAAACCAUGCACCGAAGCUGCGGCAGCGA